rnacentral:rRNA from 1 species
GAUGAACGCUGGCGGCGUGCCUAAUACAUGCAAGUCGAGCGAACGGACGAGAAGCUUUCUUCUCUGAUGUUAGCGGCGGACGGGUGAGUAACACGUGGAUAACCUACCUAUAAUACUUGGAUAACUUCGGGAAACCGGAGCUAAUACCGGAUGAUAUUUUGAACCGCAUGGUUCAAAAGUGAAAGACGGUCUUGCUGUCACUUAUAGAUGGAUCCGCGCUGCAUUAGCUAGUUGGUAAGGUAACGGCUUACCAAGGCAACGAUGCAUAGCCGACCUGAGAGGGUGAUCGGCCACACUGGAACUGAGACACGGUCCAGACUCCUACGGGAGGCAGCAGUAGGGAAUCUUCCGCAAUGGGCGAAAGCCUGACGGAGCAACGCCGCGUGAGUGAUGAAGGUCUUCGGAUCGUAAAACUCUGUUAUUAGGGAAGAACAUAUGUGUAAGUAACUGUGCACAUCUUGACGGUACCUAAUCAGAAAGCCACGGCUAACUACGUG